rnacentral:rRNA from 1 species
GACGAACGCUGGCGGCGUGCCUAAUACAUGCAAGUCGAACGCAGUGGGGACGGGUGAGUAACACGUGGUUAACCUCCCAUCAGAGGGGAUAACACUUGGAAACAGGUGCUAAACCGAUACUGAUGGAUGGACCCGCGGUGCAUUAGCUAGUUGGUGAGGUAACGGCUUCCCAAGGCCACGAUGCAUAGCCGUCCUGGGAGGGUGAGCGGCCACACUGGUACUGUGACAUGGCCCAUACCCCGACGGGAGGCAGCAUUAGGGAAUCGUCGGCAAUGGGCGAAAGUCUGACCGAGCAACGCCGCGUGAGUGAAUAAGGUUUUCGGAUCGUAAAACUCUGUUGUGAGAGAAGCGGUAUCUAACCAGAAAUCCACGGCUAACUACGUGCCAGCAGCCGCGGUAAUAC